CUGCGCCACUAGUGGUGAUCGCGUUUAUUGUGCCUAAGCGUCCGUAGCCUGAUUAAUAACUCUUGUGUGAAAUUGUUAAAGUCAACUUAGCAACGUGCAUGAGAAACUGUUAAUCUCGAGACCGGUGAGAAGUCAGAAGUAUGCCUGGGGGAGCGGUAAAAUGCAAUAAUCCUAGGUAGACUACCUGUGGCGAAGGCGUCUGACUAGAACGGAUCUGACGGUGAGGGACGAAAGCUAGGGGAGCAAUCCGGAUUAGAGACCCGAGUAGUCC
rnacentral:rRNA from 1 species